GGGGAUAGCACUGAAUCUAUAAAUUACUUUGGGCAGUAUGGCCAUACUGGCCAUUCUGUAUCCUUUUUCUCUAACUGUAAAAGUCUUGGUUCCUAAUGACAUUAGCAUAAUUACUUACAUUACCCUACAUGAUAUUUGUAACAAUUUUAAAAUAACAAUUCCAGUGUUAAUACUAAGACUAUGGAAUGCAGUUUAAGAUUGCUUUGCUGUUUUGUUGUUCUUAAAGUCCUGUUAGGGAGGUAGUCAAAGCAUUAUAUUUUAAAGUCUCUUAAACUAACUUCUUUCCUUGUAGUUACAUUUCCAACUUGUUACGCAGUUUAAUUCCUUUGCUUCAUUUAUUCCCUCAGUUUUAGGGAUUGUUUUCCUUUCUCUUUUGGAUUUAUCUUUACAUUGAUUAUAUGUAAAACCAUUACAUGUUCCAAAGUUGAAAUCAUAUAAGAGGAGAUAUUCUUGAAGUCUUGCUUCCAUUCUAUCUGCCAUUCUUUUUCCUUCUUCCCUCUUUAGUAAUCAUUUUUAUUAGGUUUUCCUUUAUAGAUCUAUUAUGUGUUUGAAUAUUAAACAAAUGAGAGUAGUUGUAUUUCACCCAUAUUUCUUACACAAAAUAUAUUAUUUGGUAUAAACACUGUCCUGCUUCUUUAUUUUUUCCACUUAACAACAUGUUGUACAGAUUAUCACAUGUCAUUAUAUGGAGCUCUUCCUUAUUUCUUUUUUAUAACUGCAUCAUAUGCCAUCCUGAAGAGAAAUCAUAGCUUGUUCAACCAGGCAGUCCCUGUUGACAGAUAUUGUGUUGGUUCUAAUCUUUUGCUAUUACAAAGAAAGCUACCGUAAGUAAUGGAGGUGCCUGUUUCCUGGUUCUCCUGGCUCCUAGCCUACUUUGCCCUCUGCCUCCUUUUGCAUACCUAAUAACUUCAGAACCCAGCAAUUCUUCGUUUGUUCCCUUCUCUGUUUCUGCUUUUCCGUCCAUGCUGCUCUCAACCAAUUUCAGAUGUGUUAUCUUUGCCUGAAUCAUAGCAGUAGCAGUGAAAUCCCUACUUAGAUUUCUCCCCAGUCCCAGUCUGUGCUGAAUACCAUGGUCAGAUUCAUCUCCUGAAAUAUUAUUUGGACUAUGACCUCUUCUCACCCUACUCAAAUAUCUUCAAUAACAGCGUAAAAACAAAACUACUUAAUUUGGAAUACAAGGGUGUUCAUGAACUAAUCCAAAUCUCCUUUCCCAAUACUUAUUCCCUCUGCUUUGGUCUGUAUAUGCAUUACUCGAUACAUGUGAUUUCCCAACCUUCAUGUUAAUGCCUUUGUGCCUUAUCUGUUCUUCAAGCCUCCAAUUAAAUUCUAGAGCCUCACAUACUGUUUCAGAAUCCCAAGCAUUCUCCCCUGAACUCUUACUCUGUGUGAUAACAGUUUCAAACUCAGCAAAGACUUAGACCCCAGCCAAAUGGAAAAUCUUAUUGACUCUAUCUAGGCACUACUGUGAGAUCUAAGAAAUCUAUUGCUACAUUCAUCAAGUAUUAGCUAAACACCAGAACAGCAUCCAAAGGUGAGGCAAGUGGGCAUUUUGAUUGGUUAGGGUUCCUUCUGGUAGUGACCAAGAAGGAUGUGGGCACCUCUCUGCCUGGAGGCACAGAUAGGAAGAUAUUCCAGGGUGGCAAUACUUGACUGAGAGAUAGAGUAGUAGACUGUGUGUCUCUUACAAAGAAUAAUUUAUUUCCAGUUCAAGAAGAAUAAUUCGAACCCUUGUCUGGGGAAAGGGACUUAUCCACUGGGCAGAAGCCACAAAGUCCCAAAUCCUGGGAGUUUCUACCUUUCGCCCAUCAAGACAAAAUGUGGCAGUAUAUUCUGUGAGGGCUUGAAACUCAUGCAAAGCUAGCAUAUCCUGGCCACUAGCUAUGUACAUGGUUAUUGACAAAUCACACAUUACUGAACACUACAUUUUGUACUGCUUUCUUUGUGCACUUUUGUUGUUUGUACUUCAUUAGCCUUAGUUUCAUACAGUUCCUUUUUAAGCUUCACCAUCUGGGGCUAGAACUAUUUUUGGUUUAUUUAUUUACAAUUUAACCUCCCCCUCCCUUUAUUUUCAAAAGGAUUUGCAGAAACUUACAAGUUUAAGGAUCAUGUAAAGUAAGACAUAGAGAAGAAUUGUAUGUUUCAAGAAGGAGUAGAUAUUACCAGAUACCUCAUGAUCAGAACACUAUGCAUGUUGAGCACUGACUUUGACUGAAAUUUUUGCAGCCAAGGGUGAGGGAAACAGUGGUAUACAUAACUUAAGAACCAGAAGAGGGAUAUAUUCCUCUUUAAAUGUCAACUUCUCUCAAACACAAAACUCAAAUAGGGAUUUGUCACAGGAAUGUUGAAUAAACACAUUAGGUAACAUAGUGAUUCAUGUCUUUGAUUUUUACGAACAACACAGGAAUACCAGUGAAAUCAACACUGCUUAUGUGAACUGAGGUAGGAUUUUGUUUUCGUUCUUGUUAUUGUGUGUAUACACAGCUAAUUGAAGGGUAAACUAACACAACCACUUUGGAAAGCUGUUUAGCAGUAUCUACUAAAGCUAAACAAAUACCUACCCUAUGACCCAGAAAUUCUACUGCCUGUGUUCAGCAAAAGACAUAUGCAAGAAUGUCCAUUAGAGCAUUAUUUAGUACUGGUUAAAUAAUGAAAAUAACCAAAAUGCUCAUCAACGGUAAAUAUGCAAAUAAAUUCCAAUACAUUUAUACCAUGGAAUAUGGUACAGUAAUGAAAAUGAACAAAGUAUAGCUACAUGCAAGAAUGUGAAAUGCUCUUGCAAACAUACUGAUUGAAAUAAGUCAGACCCUAAAUAAUACCUACUGGCUGAUUCAUUUUCUAUAAAGAUUUAAAAAAACAGAUUAAACCGUGAUAUUGGAAAUCAGGAUAGUAGUUAAUUUCCAAGAUGAAAGAGGAAAAUUAUAGGUGCAUGAUGGGGCUUUUGGAGAUUGGCAGUGUUCUCUUUUGGGCCUGGGUAGUGGUUACUUGUGUGUAUUCACUUUAUGCUAAUUCAUUGAACCAUACAGAUACAGACUGUGUUUCUUUCUAUGCGUGUGUAAUGCUUCAACAAAAGUUCCAAUACUGAUGCAUGCACAUGUUAAAAUUUAAAACUACAUUAAAGAGUGUGCAAUUAAAAGGAAGUCAUCCUCUCACUCUAAAGUCCUAUUUCCUUUCUUCAGAGUCUAUCAUUACUACCAUUUUCUAGUGUAUUCUUUUAGAAAUGUGCUGUAAAAUAACAAUGAUGUAUAUGUUUCUGUAGGUAUAUAUUCUUUUCAUAAUUUACAGAAAUAUAAACUCACUACAUAUGUUAUUCUACCACAUGCUUUUUUUAUGUAACAGUAUGUGUUAGACAUCUUUUCCUAUUAUUGCUUGGAAGCUAACAAGCUUAUUCUUUGUAAUGACUCCAUAAAUUAUUCUACUGUGCAGACACACCAUGUUUAACCAGACCCCUGUUAGUGAACAUUUAGGAUUUUUCCAGGUUUUAAAUAUUACAGUGACAUAUUAAACAUGUGUUUUUACACAUGCCCUUGCACACAUGUAUGCAUAUGGUGGACUUUAACACCUUUUUGUUUGAUUAUUUAACUAACACAUAAGGUGAAUAUCCCAUAGAGUCAAAACCACCCUUAAAACUUCCUUAGGAAGGCUGACACACCAUAUCUUCAUUAUUCCAGCAGAGCCUGUUUGCCCCCAAUAUUGGAGUACAUCACUGAGUCAUUGGCUCAGCACCAGAUGAAGAGGUUAGCUUGUGGUUAUGAGCUACAUCGAAUGAAAUAUAUGUGUCUUUAAACACCACAAUCACUGUGAGAUGCCCACUGUAUGAGAGACACACAGGGACUGAAACUUACCAAUGGAGUAGCAGAGCCACAGCUUUUACUUUAAGUUCUCUCUGGGGCACAGCAGGAUCAUUGAGCAGAAUGGUGGGCACAACCUGCUACACCAUUUCAAUUGUUGUCUCCUCUCUCCCUCAACUCUCUCCUCUCUCUUUCUGUCUCCGUCUCUCCUCUCUCUCUUCUGUCUGUAUACCGAGUGUAUAUAUUUGAAUUUACGUAACUCAUAUAUGCAUAUGGUAUGGUUCCACUAUGUUUCCAUAGGAUCAAUUCCAAGAGGUUGUAUUUUGGCAUAUAUAUGCAUGCAUGAUCUUCAAAUCAUGUACAUGUGUGCAUGUUGUAUAGAUAUACCUUUUUAAUUAUGAAAAAUUUCAAAUAUAUACAAAAGUAGAUAGAACUGUAAUGAGUCCCCAUCACCCAGCCUCAACAAUGAUCAACACCCAGCCACUCUUGUUUCAUCUAUACUCACAUCUGCUUUACUUCUUUUUGUAAUAUCAUGAAGCAAUUCACAGACAUCAUAACAUUUAUCUGUAAAUAAUUCAGUGUAUAUUUCUAAAGGAUUAAGAUUCUUUCUAAAAACAUAUCCACAAUACAAUAAUUACAUCUAAAAAUGAACAAAACUUCAUUAAAAUCUACAAAUAUCCAGUCAUUAUUAAAGUUUCCAGUUAUCUUAUGGUUGUCAUAAAUGGAUAUUUGUUUAAAUGAAGCUCCAAAUAUGGGUUAGAUACUGCAAUUGAUUAAUACAGCCUUUAAGUUUCUUUUAAUCCACAGGUUCCCUUCCUUUUUUUCUUUUUGCCAUUUAUUUUUUUAAGAAAAUGGGUACUUUUCAGUGUAGCAUUUCCUAUACUGGAUUUUACUGAUUGCACUUUUGUUGUUAAGUUUAACAUUCUCGGCAAUCUUCUGUGUUUUCCAUAAAUUAGUAGUUGGUUUCAGAGGCUUAAGUUUCUUUGUUUUUUUGUUUUGUUUUGGUUGACUAUUUCAUAUAUGGUUUGUGCUCUACAUGUAGAAGCACAUACUAUCUGGUUGUUUGUUUUUGUGUUGUUAGCAGCCACUGACAGUCAAACUUAGAUUCAUUCAUUCAUUCAUUAAGGGUUGCAAAAUGGUGAUGUUCUUAUUUUGUUAUUCUUUCUUUAUUUGUUAGCUGGAAUAUUUCUGUACAUCUACUACUUGGUUCUCCAGUGGUACAGUUUGUAUAAGAAGGCAGGGUAAAUGCCUAAUUCCAAAUAAUGAGCUAGCUCACUGGUAUCCAUUAAUAUAAUCAAUGAAUGAUUAUUUUCAAAAUAUAUUAAUGAAUUCAUGGAUUUAAACAUAUUUUAUGUGUUUUGAUUCAUUGUUCUUAUUCAUAUUGAGGCUCAUAUUGAGGCCCAUAUUGGCCCCUCCUUGGUCAUAGGGGACCUCUUUAAAUUGGCCCCUGAGUCCUUUUUACAUGAAUCUUGUAGUUUUUGAAAGCUUUCUUGCUAGGCAUGAUAAGAUAUUCUAGGAUCAUUAUGCAAAUUUCCUGCCCCAGAUCUGAAGACCUAUAUUUUUAGAUACCAACAUGGUAUAGUGAAAAGAUCACAGUCUUUGCAGUCAGAGAAACUGGGAUUGAAUCCUGGCUUUACCUCAUGCUGCCUGUGUGACCAUGGGAAAACUACUUAAUAUCUACCCGCUUCAAGUUUCUUCAUUUUUAUACAUAGCAGGAGGUACUCAGAAAUUCAGGCUCCCUCUCCAUUUCCUGAUCUCUUCUUACUCAAAUGACAACAUCAUAUUUAUUAUUACUUAGGCUUCUGUGCUUAAAGCAUGGAGUGUUCUCUUUCAUAUAUGAUAGAUACUCAAUUUUUACUUACAAAAUGACCUUGAGGAUAGAUGCUGUCAAAUAGAUGACGCUAACACAUGUUGAGCUCUGUGAAGGUAGGCACUGUCUCAGUGUAGCUGUUUUUUUUUUUUUUUUAAAUUUCCUUUUUUUCAAAGUACCUAGCACAAAUAUUAGUAAACAAAAUCUUUCUUAUCAUCUCUACCCACUCCCCAGAAUUGAGGUGGGAUGGUGAUGUCAGCUUUUAGUUGUGUUAAAAGAGGAAAGAAAAGAAGCAUGAACAAUUCAAAAGGAUAAUUCAAGGCAAUGAGUCACCCCAAAGUCACUCAUUUCAGUUUGAAAGACAUUAUUUGAUAUAUAUUGCAGAUUUCCCUUCUUAAAUUAGCUUUAGUUACACUACUAUUAAAAUGGCUGUUCAUUCCUUGAGGUCACAGAAGCUAGAGAGGGCAAUAAAUCCAAAAUGUGCUGAACAAGCCACAGAAGCCAACUCGGGAUGAAGUGUUUACACUGGAUAUUCUGCCCUGACACUCAAGUGUUGCUAUAAUGCUGUCCUCAACUUAGGAUCAGAAUUACAAAAUUGCCAGGCGACCUCAACGUUCCAGCCCUGGCAGCAAGGGGAGCAGCAGCUGCUGCAAAGAGCACAGCCUUUUGACAGCUAACUAAAAGAUACUGAAUGAAGGUGGAAAGAGUGAUCAGAAAAAGAGCACCUUGAUUAAGCAGUGUGCUGUGAUGGCCUUCAGCUUAGCAUCUAUUCUAGGAUGAAUUGGGAUUUUGGGGGAGCUUACUAGAGAAUUAUUUUGCCUUUUGCCUUGUGGCUACUUUCCUCAAAGUAUCCAGUGAACAGUUCACAACAUGACAGUAUUCACUCAGAAGGCACUGACUAGGGAAAGCUGUUUGACCAUCUCCCAUAGGGCCUGUUUUUCAAGCUGUUGGUUUUGUCGUGGGAUGGAGGCAGCUGGCUGAGGUGACUAGAAAGCCCAGAGUUUCCUGAAAGCUAAAUUUUGGGGCUAUUUCCUCUCUUGGGCUGGCUACCCAGGAUCUCUCUUCCCAUAAGCUCCAAGGGUAGAUUCCUAACAAACACAAGGGCUUACUCUGUGCCAGAACUUUGAGGGGCUAUUUGCAUGCAUUUUCUCAUUGAAUUCUCAUAUCCAGCAUGGCAAGGUAUAUAUUAGAUAUCCAUUAGUUAGACAAGAAAUUGCAGGUUCAGACAAACUCAAUGACAUGUCCCCCUGCCCACCCCAGAUAGGAUCACACAGCCAGCAGAUAGAAAAGUAACAAUUUAAACAUGAAUACUUGACCCCAAAAUGGGUGUUCUCUCAAGGAUGCUGUGCUGCCUUCCUUCAGCUUAGCUCCGCUCUCUUCACAGGUCUCACAGGCACUUGUCUCCUUCCUUUGCUCUGGCUACUCUCAUCCUAGGUUCCACUUCCUGAUUGACCAUACUUUCAUUUUCAGGUGCUUCAUUGCCAAUCAGCCCCUAAUGUGAAGGCAGGAAAGAGCACAGAUGCCAAAUAGGUGAAGGUGACCAAGAUUGUGGAGGCCUCACACUAUGUUUUCUCCAUUUGCUCCCUGUUCAUUCUCUUCUUAUGGCUGGAUCUGAAAGUCUCCCAGCUCUGAAAUUAAAGUUCUAGGAUUGUGGUUUGCCAAGGACAAAUGUAUUUAAGGCCUGGUCAAUGAGGUCAACUAUUAGAAGUAGACCCAUCCCAGGAAAUCUGCUAUUCCUGUUUAAUGUAAUUUUGAGUCCUUGCUAACUCUUCUCCUGCCCUUUUGUCAUUUACUCUGGUGGCCCUCCAAGGAACAGUGAGGUGACCACUGGUACUCAUGGGUAUAGGGCUGCUAGCUGAACCCUGGACAGACUGCACCUGCAUUGCUCUUAUUAGCUUAGCCACAUACCUCAGGACUCAUGAUGGAAAAAAAAAAUUAUUUCUCGAAAUGAUAUGUCUCCAUGUAAGGUUGUGGUCAAAUGGAGAAGGAAAGAAAACUUGUGUAUGAACUAUUUAACCUGAG